UGGUGUGGUUCGUUGAGCGUGUCGCGUGAGCCUGUACUCUGCCGCCAUGGAAAUAUUCUCUUAUCCCAAUAUAAAGGGGGUGUUGCGAGGACAUAGCGACAUCCCCUUGCACGUGCAUUGGCUACACGCAGGCUGUUGACGCAGGAUUACACGACGAUUUCGCGCCAUUUCUGUCUAGCUGGUGCGCUCACUGCGGACACAGCCCGGCGCAUCGUACCCGCCUGGUGCCAUGUGAAGUGUGGACAAGUACAUCAGUGCAUCAUGCACCAGCUGUGGUGCCUGUGCAAAUUGCUGAUCUCGAUGAAGCCGACAUUCGAAACAGAGCUUCACUUCUAAAAAACUGAAAGUUUCAUGGAGAAGCUCAACAAAGUCAAAGUCAUCCUCGGUCAGAUAUUCAAUGCCCGCAUGUAUUUAUUUCGUGGAGGUCGACGAGUAUUUCUGAGGAAAUGAUGCU